rnacentral:sRNA from 1 species
UCUGUGAAGUAGCUAAUAAUAUAGAACAGAAUGCUCAAGAGAAUGAAAAUGAAAGCCAAGUUUCAACAGAUGAAAGUGAGAACUCCAGGUCUCCUGGAAAUAAAUCAGAUAACAUCAAACCCAAAUCUGCUCCAUGGAACUCCUUUCUCCCUCCACCACCCCCCAUGCCAGGGCCAAGACUGGGACCAGGAAAGCCAGGUCUAAAAUUCAAUGGCCCACCACCGCCGCCGCCACCACCACCACCCCACUUACUAUCCUGCUGGCUGCCUCCAUUUCCUUCUGGACCACCAAUAAUUCCCCCACCACCUCCCAUAUGUCCAGAUUCUCUUGAUGAUGCUGAUGCUUUGGGAAGUAUGUUAAUUUCGUGGUACAUGAGUGGCUAUCAUACUGGCUAUUAUAUGGUAAGUAAUCACUUAGCAUCUUUUCCUGACAAUUUCUUUGUAGUUAUGUGACUUUGUUUUGUAAAUUUAUAAAAUACUACUUGCUUCUCUCUUUAUAU